GGUAUCGGGAACCAGGUUCGAGGUAUGAUUGAACAGGCUGUGUAUGAAAUAUUGUCGCGGAUAAGGGGAAUCCGGCAAUAGUUGGUUGCUGUAUCUUAAUGCCAACUUUAUUUGCAUGUUGAAGAGGUUACUGAUUCUAGAGUAGUGCCAAUUAUGAGAUGGUUUGUAUAUCUAAAGGUUUUUAUACCAUGGUUUAUCUAUGUAAGUUAAGGGAAUAGCUUGGGAUGUGUUUGCCUGGCUCGUAGAAAGUAGUGGAGUUCUCCACAGUGGUCUGAUGCUGGAUUCCAUCUCUUUUACUGUUGUCAUGUGUCCCAUAAGAAAGCCUUUAUUCAGCAUUUUUGGACGUGGUCGGUCGGCGAAAGCCACCAAAGAAAUAUUAUUCAGCUGAUCUGCCGGUCGAAUCUUACCACAGACCUUAUGCGUACCAUGUUGCAGAUAUUGCCGUUUCAGUUGAUGUAACAAUAUAAUGGUCAGAACACAA